rnacentral:misc_RNA from 1 species
GGAAAUACCAGUCAAUUUUUGUUGUUCAUUUCCUGGAAAAAGAAUGCUACUCAUGAUUUUUAAUUAGUUCUAGAUGGGUAAAUUUCUGAUUGCUUUUUUUAUGAAGUUUUGGGACUGUCGAGCAAUAAAAUCUAGAGGUUAUGAGAUUGAGAUGCCUGUCUUUAUGCCAAUGCUACUUUAUUUGUUGAUAAUCUUCAAUUAGGACUUUGAAUUCUUUCACAGGAUGUUUUGGGGGUAGUUCUGGC